rnacentral:rRNA from 1 species
GAAAGCCUAGAUCUUAUCUAGUACGGUACACGAUGGUUCCGCGUCUGAUUAGGUAGUUGGCGGGGUAACGGCCCACCAAGCCCACGAUCAGUAGCCGGCCUGAGAGGGCGGACGGCCACACUGGGACUGAGACACGGCCCAGACUCCUGCGGGAGGCAGCAGUGGGGAAUAUUGCACAAUGGGGGGAACCCUGAUGCAGCGACGCCGCGUGAAGGAAGAAGUAUCUCGGUAUGUAAACUUCUAUCAGCAGGGAAGAAAGAGGACGGUACCUGACUAAGAAGCCCCGGCUAACUACGUGCCAGCAGCCGCGGUAAUACGUAGGGGGCGAGCGUUAUCCGGAUUUACUGGGUGUAAAGGGAGCGUAGACGGCCAUGCAAGCUCGGUGUGAAAGGUGCGGGCACAACCCGCAGACUGCACUGAGAACUGUAUGGCUGGAGUGCCGGAGGGGCAGGCGGAAUUCCUGGUGUAGCGGUGAAAUGCGUAGAUAUCAGGAGGAACACCGGUGGCGAAGGCGGCCUGCUGGACGGCGACUGACGUUGAGGCUCGAAAGCGUGGGGAGCGAACAGGAUUAGAUACCCUGGUAGUCCACGCCGUAAACGAUGUAUACCAGGUGUCGGGCAUCAAGGAUGGCCG